rnacentral:rRNA from 1 species
AUGUGCAUUCUUACAACACAACAUUAAUGCGUCAGAUUCCAUUAGAACUCCACAGUUAAGCAUGCUUGGGCUAGAGUAGUACUGGGAUGGGUGACUUCCCUGGAAGUCCUAGUGUUUUACAUU